rnacentral:rRNA from 1 species
AUUGAACGCUGGCGGCAUGCCUUACACAUGCAAGACGAACGGCAGCACGGGCUUCGGUCUGGUGGCGAGUGGCGAACGGGUGAGUAAUGUAUCGGGACAUACCAUUGAGUGGGGGAUAACGUAGCGAAAGUUACGCUAAUACCGCAUAUUCUCUCCGGAGGAAAGCAGGGGACCGCAAGGCCUUGCGCUCUUUGAGCGGCCGAUAUCAGAUUAGCUAGUUGGUGGGGUAAAAGCUCACCAAGGCGACGAUCUGUAGCGGGUCUGAGAGGAUGGUCCGCCACACUGGAACUGAGACACGGUCCAGACUCCUACGGGAGGCAGCAGUGGGGAAUUUUGGACAAUGGGGGCAACCCUGAUCCAGCCACGCCGCGUGAGUGAAGAAGGCCUUCGGGUUGUAAAGCUCUUUCGGCCGGGAAAAAAUCGCAUGAGUUAAUACCUUGUGUGGAUGAUGGUACCGGAAUAAGAAGCACCGGCUAACUACGUGCCAGCCGCCGCGGUAA